UUUCGGAUGGAAAAAAGUUAUCGAAUCCAAGGGCACUUAAUGAAUAUAAAAGGCUACGCGAAAACUUCAGAAAUAUACUUAUGCGUCACCUGAAUAACAAAGUAUAAUCAUCUCCUUUUGAAACUUAGCAACAUUACUGUGCACAAUGAAGAUUUUGAUCACGGUCAUUUUUUUCGCUUUAGUGGCUUGCGCCUGCGCAUAUACAAGCUACUUUCCUUCCUCUUUCAUCAGCAGAUAUGCUUAUCCCUACACCUUCAAUUAUCCACCAACUUAUAAUUUCGGAUAUCCUGCUCAUUACGUACACAAUAGCCGGCCCAGUUUUUACAACAAGUAUUCCAUAUAUUGACGAAAUUGAGAAGUCUUUCUGAAUCAACAAAGCUUCAAAGACAUGCUUUCCCAGAUGUUACUGGUCCAGCUGCUGUGAAAUUUCGAGUCAGAAAUUGUAAUUUUAUUAUUAAAUAAAUACUUUUGUUUGUA